AUCUAGACUUUUUCCUCUUUGUUUUUCCUACCAUAAAUACUGUUGCAAUAACAAAUCAUAUACUAUAUAUUUUUAAACCAUUUCUAGUUGUUUCCUUGGGGUAAAUUUCUGGAAGUAUAUUGCUAGGUUAAAUGGUGCUAUGGGUUGAAUUGUGUCCCACCCCUUCAAAUUCAUGUGUUGAAGUCCUAACUGCCAAUAUGACUGCAUUUGAAGAUAAGGUUUUCAGGAGAUAGCUAAGGUCAAAUGAGGCCAAAAGGGUGGGAACCCAAUCUCAUAGGACUAGUGGUCUUAUAAAAGAAGGAAGAGUGAGAUCUCAUUCUGUAAUGUGAGGACACAGAAAGAAGACAAUUGCCUGCAAGCCAGGAAGAUGGUCCUCCUCAGAACCUGACCAUGCUGGCGCCCUCAUCCCAGGGCUCCAGUCUCCAGAACCUCAGGAAUAUAGACCCCUGCUGUCUAAACCACCCAGUCUAUGAUACUUUGUUAUGGCAGUCCAAGAUAAGACAAGUGGAAUGGUAUUUUGGGGCAUGAUACAUAUUGCACUUAUCACCUUACUCUUACCCAUGGCACAUGGAAUUAUUAAUUUUCCUGUAACUUUACCAACUGUGUUCUUUAUCAUUUGUUAUAAUCAUAUUAGAUAUUAUAUAUAAGAAGAGUAUUUCAUUGUCUUAAUACAUAAAUUUCUAUGGUGUAAAAUGACACAGUCUUGCUGGUUAUACAGUAUCUUUCUGUGGGCCAUAAAAUCCAUUGCAUUUGAUUAAGAAUACUUAAUUGUGAAGUCUACUUAUGAAGUGUCCCAACAUGUCUCCUACAGAAUUUGUAAACGCAUGGCCAAUGUUAUUCAUUUGCUUACUCAACAAGUAUUUAUUGAGAACCUAGCCAGGUCCUGAGGAUACAAUAUAACAACAACAGAAAAGAUCCCUGCCCUGAUAAGAGUUUAUAGUAGGGAAAGGCAUAAAAAAGAAAAAUCAGACAGUAAGUGUACAAUUACAUUUAAGAAGGGUAAAAGUACACAGACAUGAUGCAAUUUAGAUUUCAGGGAAUGAGUCAAUUUGGGAAUGAUACUUAAGUGAGAUGUGAUGGAUGAGCAGCAGUUAUCAGAGGGGUUAUAGGAGGUUCUCCAGAGAGAUGUCUAAUUUUUUCAAAAUGCAAAUUUCAUUAUGUGACUUCUGUUGCUAAUACAGUAAACUUACUUGUUACUCUCCAAAUCCCUCUUCACUAUAAAACACCUAGACACUGAAUAAAUUAUAAUAGGCACACUGUUAAAUGUUGUGCUAUACUUAUAAAAAAGUAAAAAAAAAUAUUCAAAGGGCAGGAAAACAAAAAAAAUGAAUCAGGAGCUGAAACCAAAGAGGGAGUGAAAGUCAACACCAGGCUGCGCUGGAAGCAUAUGUUGAUACCAGGGACACUUCGCAGUUAUGCUCAAGGGAAUCAGCCACAGGGUCAAACACCUAAUGUGCACAGGCCACUGAACCCCAGAUGUCUGUAAAAAAUAGGACUCUUGCAUAGGCUAUAUGAUCAGUGAAAGGAUGGUCUGGAAAGAAUCAAUAAUCUUGCCAUGUGGAGCCAAAACAUCAAUAGACUGGGUGAAAAAGAGUCUUUCCAGAGAAUAUGCACCAUAGGCCUGACCUCAUUGUAUUGGGUACUACUUGUGCAGUCAAGGAAUCUCCAGGAUGAGAAAACAGAGUAGCUCUAGUAGCACUCCUGUCACCAUGUGAAAGCAAAAGCAAAUCUUCUUUAGAGGAAAACACUAAAAUACAAGAACACAAAAAAGCUAAAAGUAUGAAUAAACAUGUAUCAGACAAAUACUCACCAAAAGGAUAACAUUAAUAACUAUCUAAAUAAACUUUAAUGCAAAAUGCACUAUUAGCUAUAGGGAGUCAGAGAUUCUGGCAGAAGCAGAAGGAAGAAAGCCCCACGGCAGGGCAGCUUCACGUCCACCCUGGUCGGAAUCCCACAGAUCAAACAGGAAAACAACUAAGAAGAAUUUAGAGGCUGUGAACCACACAACUCCUGCUUGCCCUACCAAGCCACAGAGUAUGCUUAUUUUUUCAAGAGACACAAAACAUUUACAAUAUUUGACAAAUGCUUUGCCAUGAAGUCUCAGCAAGUUACGAAGGAUCAUCAGUAUAACACAGAUUACAUUCUAUGAACAGAAUGAAGUUAGGUUAAAGAUCAGUUCUCAAGGGGAAAAAAACCCAGAAAAGCUUCACUCUCUUAGAAAUUUAAAAAUGUAUUUAUAAAUAGCUCUAUGUCUAAAAAAAUUAUACUAAAAAGUUACAAUUACUUAGAGUGAAUUUUAGUAAAAUACCACAUACCAAAUUUCUGUAUGUAGUAAAAGCAGUAAUUAGUGGGUACCAAUAACCCUAAGUGCUUAUGUAUUAAAAGAAGAAAAGCUAACUAAUAAUGUCAACUUAAGGAAGUCAGCAAAAAGUAACCCAAGAAAGUAGAAGAAAGGAAUAAUCAAAUUAAAUAUUUAAUGCAAUGGUUGACACAAAACGGGGUACACAGGGAAACUUCUAGGGUGAUGGGACUGUUCAGAAUGACACCAGCAUGGUGAAUACAUGUCUCUGUUGAAAUCCAUAGAACUAUAAGAACUGGAUGGCACAGAACAGGAGCUUUAUGGAACACCUUAAAGGAAACAAACAACACUAUAUCGACCGGGAUGUUGAGGAGUAUCAGGACGGACUGCAUGUUGUCAAAAAUGACACUGAUUGCACUGUAAGACAGAACCUCACUAAAGAGAUUGGUGCCGGGGGGCGGGGGAGAAGCUGUCCUACUCGACUUUGGAAAACAGUGUUUUGAGAGGAAACUGUAAGGCUAAUGACUGAGAGACCUGUGCCCAAACACUGAACUCUAAGUAAAGAGAUGGUGGCUGAGGGUAGCCAGGCUUCUCACUAUGGAAUAGAGAAGUUACUGAUGAGCAAGAAAGGAAGGCUAACAUGAGCUUGGUGGCACUGGGCCAGAGUUGGAGCCGUCAGGAUGAGCUCAUGGGUUAGUACACAUGCAUAUUGCCUAGCUCUGUCCAGUGAAAGGGCCUGCAAGCAACGACAACCCAGUAGCAAUAAGCAUAUCCAUCAUCAUGAUCUUGGUUUCUAAAUACCAUUCUCUAAUAAGAGGAAUUAGAACUUUUUGGAGAAAUGGCUGAUUCCAGGGCUGAUGCAGGGAAAAUACAAAAUAAGAUUGAGCAUGUUUUACUACAAGAAAGAAAGAAAAGUGCUAAUGCCCCCUACCCACCCUCAAAGCAUGGGGCACAUCACAGGGAAUUAGUCUGAAAGAGCUGUCAUAGUAAUGGAUUAUAGCCCAAAGUAUAAGGUAAUUAUAUAAAAACCCAUACUAACAUAAAUGCUUGACUAAAUAAAUAGGGGAAAAGAAACAAAUCUUCCUUGUAGAAGAAUUCCAAAGGAUAUAUGUAGUUAGUCCUCCUACAUGUAUUUAAUGAUAUGUAUUGAAUAUAUAUUUAAUACAUACUUAAUUCCUCUCUCCCCUUGAAUGGGAGUUGCACCUAGUAACUUGCUUCCUAAUAGUAUGGAGAAAGCAAAAUAGUACCUGUACAGUGCAGAAACCUGGCACACACCACCUUAACCUAGUGAUCAAGGUUAACAUGACCAGUGAUGCCCUGUGGAUAGCACUACUCCUUGAAAGAAUGAAAAUAAAGGGUAUUGCAUCUCUUCAAAAUCCCAUAAACCCAGUCUAAGUCAUGAAAAUGUCAGAAAAAUCCAAAUUGAGAAAUGUUUGAAAAAAUACUUGCCCAGUAUUCCUCAAAACUGUCAAGGUCAUGAAAAAUAAGAAAAGGCUGAGAAACUGCCACUGAUCAGAAAAAACACGGUAACAAAAUGCAAUGCGGUAUCCCAAGUUGAAUACUGGAACACAAGAAAAGGACAUUAAUUUAAAAUAUGGACUGGUGAAAUCUUAAUACGAAUUUGUGGUUAGUCCACAGUACCGUGCCAGUGCCAGCCUCUCGGCAUUGACAACUGUGCCAUGGUAACGUAUGAUGACAACAUUAGAGGAGAAAACACAAAACUCUCUGUAGUAGCUUUGCAGUUUUUCUGUAAGUCUAAAAUUACUCUAAAUGAAAAAGUUAUUUAAAACAUUAAUGAACUAGAAAUCAAAUGAACAAGAGAGUUCAACAAAGCCGAAGUUGUUUCUUUGAAAGUUUACAAUUUCUGGUAAGGUGGAUUGAAGAGGAAAAGAGAAGGUAAAUAUAAAUAAUAUCAGAAUGAAAAAGGGGGAAUAUUUGCAAAUAGA